UUUAUUGGAGAGUUUGAUCCUGGCUCAGGAUGAACGCUGGCGGCGUGCCUAAUACAUGCAAGUCGAGCGAAUGGAUUAAGAGCUUGCUCUUAUGAAGUUAGCGGCGGACGGGUGAGUAACACGUGGGUAACCUGCCCAUAAGACUGGGAUAACUCCGGGAAACCGGGGCUAAUACCGGAUAACAUUUUGAACUGCAUGGUUCGAAAUUGAAAGGCGGCUUCGGCUGUCACUUAUGGAUGGACCCGCGUCGCAUUAGCUAGUUGGUGAGGUAACGGCUCACCAAGGCAACGA
rnacentral:rRNA from 1 species